UACAGAGGGUGCGAGCGUUAAUCGGAGUUACUGGGCGUAAAGAGCACGUAGGUGGUUUGUUAAGUCUGAUGUGAAAUCCCAGGGCUCAACCUUGGAAUGGCAUCAGAUACUGGCAAGCUAGAGUAUAAUAGAGGGGUGCGGAAUUUCCUGUGUAGCGGUGAAAUGCGUAGAUAUAGGAAGGAACAUCAGUGGCGAAGGCGGCACCCUAGAUUGAUACUGACACUGAGGUGCGAAAGCGUGGGGAGCAAACAGG
rnacentral:rRNA from 1 species